CAAUAGCGUAUAUUUAAGUUGCUGCAGUUAAAAAGCUCGUAGUUGGAUUUCGGGUGGGAAUGGCCGGUCCGCCGUUUCGGUGUGCACUUGCUACGCCCACCUUGCUGCCGGGGACGUGCUCUGGAGUUCACGCUCGGGACACGGAGUCGGCGAGGUUACUUUGAGUAAAUUAGAGUGUUCAAAGCAGGCCUACGCUCUGAAUACAUUAGCAUGGAAUAACACGAUAGGACUCUGGCCUAUCUUGUUGGUCUGUAGGACCGGAGUAAUGAUUAAGAGGGACAGUCGGGGGCAUUCGUAUUUCAUUGUCAGAGGUGAAAUUCUUGGAUUUAUGAAAGACGAACUACUGCGAAAGCAUUUGCCAAGGAUGUUUUCAUUAA
rnacentral:rRNA from 1 species